GAUGAACGCUGGCGGCGUGCCUAAUACAUGCAAGUCGAGCGAAGCGGGGACGGGUGAGUAACACGUGGAUAACCUCCUAUAAGACUGGAUUACCUUGGGAAACCCGGGGUACUACCGAAUCCUAUUGUUUGAUCCCCGCUGCAUUUGCUAGUUGGUAAGGUAACGGCCUACCAAGGCAACGACGCAUAGCCGACCUGAGAGGGUGAUCGGCCACACUGGAACUGAGACACGGUCCAGACUCCUACGGGAGGCAGCAGUAGGGAAUCUUCCGCAAUGGGCGAAAGCCUGACGGAGCAACGCCGCGUGAGUGAUGAAGGUCUUCGGAUCGUAAAACUCUGUUAUUAGGGAAGCGGUACCUAAUCAGAAAGCCACGGCUAACUACGUGCCAGCAGCCGCGGUAAUUC
rnacentral:rRNA from 1 species